rnacentral:piRNA from 1 species
UGAUGUUACCAUAACCUGGAAGAGGUUAGU